AUUGAACGCUGGCGGCAUGCCUUACACAUGCAAGUCGAACGGCAGCACGGGUGCUUGCACCUGGUGGCGAGUGGCGAACGGGUGAGUAAUACAUCGGAACGUACCUUAUCGUGGGGGAUAACGCAGCGAAAGCUGUGCUAAUACCGCAUACGCCCUGAGGGGGAAAGCGGGGGAUCGCAAGACCUCGCGCGAUUAGAGCGGCCGAUGCCUGAUUAGCUUGUUGGUGGGGUAAAAGCCCACCAAGGCGACGAUCAGUAGCUGGUCUGAGAGGACGAUCAGCCACACUGGGACUGAGACACGGCCCAGACUCCUACGGGAGGCAGCAGUGAGGAAUUUUGGACAAUGGGGGCAACCCUGAUCCAGCAAUGCCGCGUGAGUGAAGAAGGCCUUCGAGUUGUAAAGCUCUUUUGUCAGGGAAGAAACACCGGCUCUAACACAGUCCGGGAAUGACGGUACCUGAAGAAUAAGCACCGGCUAACUACGUGCCAGCCGCCGCAGUAA
rnacentral:rRNA from 1 species